rnacentral:lncRNA from 1 species
UUGGAGACCAUUGCUGGGAGCAUAGGGGCCUCUCAGGAAGUCGAUUUUCUUUUGUUUGAUUCAAGAAAAACAUUCUGAGCUGCUAAAAAUACAAUCUCCUCCUAAAAUGAAGCACAAAUUGCCAUGAAAUUGGGGAAAAAGAAGGGGGAAAAAAAAAAAAAAAGUAGCAGCAACAGAAGCAUACGCUUCCAGACUUCGGAACAAUGACUGCUGAAUUCUCUUCUCUUUAUUCUCCUGAUUGUUUUAUGAAGAAAUCGAACGUAGAAAGAAAAAAAAAAUGAAAUUAAGGCUCUUUUAUGGCCAGUGAAUGGAGGCAGUGAUUGUUCGUGCUAUGAACAACUCCACGCUGUGUAGCGUAGAUGCUGUGAGCUGUACAGCAGCCAGCCAGUCGCGGGAGAGCAGACCUUUUUCCAUGCCAGAGGGGAUCUGUUUCCUCACUGCUGGCAGCACAGGGAAGUGAAAUGAGUGAAAGAGGAUCUGGCACACGGACAGUUCAGCUGUAAAGCCUGAGUCAUAGGCUUGCAAUCAGAGAACAAACCAAGCAGAUAAGGAGCACAGUGAGUGCCCGCACAGCAGGCAGGGUCCGCUUGUACUUCAGCUGUGUGCAGAAGAGGUGCUGCUGUCCUCAUGCAUAGCAAGGCAGUAAGGAAGGUGGGUACCUUUGGCUACGUGUUCUGUUCCACAAGUGCAAAAAACUGCUCCAGCCCCACCAGCUUUCAACUGGGGACUCCAAACUUUUCACAGAAAGAAUACCGUCCAUAAAAAGGUGCCGCCUGCUGCUCCUGCAAAGACCCAUUCGUGCCCAUCUGAGCAGCACGCCAUAGAAAAUUCACCAUUUGCACAUGUGCACGACAGUUGUUCAUUAUUUCUGAAAGUUCGUACUUCUGCUGUGCUGGUUCGCGUAUACUGCCAGCCCCACUGAGCCCCCCACAUAGUUUCCUAGCAACUAGAUAGAAAUAUAACUCUGAGCUUGGCACCAGCAGAGCAGAUUCUGCCGCUGCUUUCCCCCAGGCACACACUGCGGUCUGGGAUAGAAUGCACUGGGCAAAGAGAUCAGGGCAGCGCAGGCCAGGAGUCUCCCAGGGGCUGGCAUUAGUCAUUCCUCACACUUCCACACGAAGCCUGGGGUUCCCGCUCCCCGAGGUGGGGACACGUGCUGCUCAGUCCUGCCUUACCCGUGCAUGUUAAGCAAGGGGGAAGUCAUGGAGAUGCCACAAAACCUGAUCUAAAGUCCUUGUCCCACGACAAUCUGUAACAAAGCUGUUACUGACUGCAGCAGGCAAGAGUUUUUGCCUUGGAUAAUACAGCAACACAGGUUUCAGCUGCUAGAUUAUAGUGAGAGGAAAUGUGGCAUGCACAGUUUUAGUCAAUAGCGAGUCUACUUUUCCUUGUCUAGAGAACAGCUGGAGAGUCCCGAUGCACACCGCCCUUUUCUGCCUCGCUCACAGUCUGCCCUUACGCACUUCUAUUUGUUUAAUCCUCUGUUGAAGUAUUUCAGGAGCACAAUCACUGCUCUGCCGCACCACCACAUCAUCACCAGAACAAAUUAAGAAGAAGAAGGUUAGGAGAUUAUAAACCGGAGAUUUAAAAAAGUAGAAAGUCUCUUCAAGGCUGCCUUCGGCUCUUCAACUGUCUUUAGUAAUACAGUACAGGAAAGUAUUACUUCUUCCCCCAGAUCCUUGCCUCACUCAGUACACAAGAUUGCUGAGGAACUGUAACAUCAUUGUUUUUAAUAGGAAAAAAAAAAAAAAAGUAGCUGAGACUUAAUGGUAGCAUUUAAAUGGCAUACAGAGCCUUUUGAGUUCACACCUCAUUAAGGUGCACAGGAAGGGAAGGGGUGCACAUCUUUGUUGUUACUUUUGCCUCGCAGCAUUUUCAGCCAUGCUAUGUGAACAGAGCAGCAGCACAUUAACUGACUUUGUA